ensembl:lncRNA
CAGGACUAAGACCUCCCGCCACACCAACAGUUUCUUGCAGUGGGGCUCAUCAACAGAGCCGGUCCCCCACUGACUGACUAUAACAGUCCACCGGUCGCUCCCCUUCACACUGCACACGUCACUUUAACUGUCAUUCAUCACUUUGUCGUCACUCGUCACUUUGUCACUUGUUCGAUAGUGCACUUUAUUUUUAAUAUUUUUUUAACUUUUUAAUUAUUUUACAUUUUUAACUUUACUCUUAUUUUAUACUAACCCAUAGCCUUAUUAUACUAACCCAUUGCAUUAGCAUUUGAUUUUAUUACUUGUGCACUGCUGUCUUGUUGUCUGUUGUCUGUUUUAUGUCUACUGCCAACCGCAAAAACAAAUUUCUUGUAUGUUUGACAUAUUUUGGCAAUAAAUGUUUUCUGAUACCUGAUUCUUGAACUAUCUGAGAUAUCCAGCGGGUGGCAGUAAAGGAUCAAUCAUUUCUAAAAAAUGACAUCUUAACACCUACUGACACAUAACCAAAGUUUAACCACGCAUCUAUUGGAAUGGAGAAAUACUGACAACAAUUCCUGUUUUACUUAAAUGAACUUUUAUGAUAUUUCUGUCAUUUGAAGAGAAAGUGAAAUACUUUUGUUUCUAAGAAAUGAGCGUAUGAGCGUGAGCUGCUUGUUGGGUCACGUGAAAAACAAGUCAGUGAGUUUUAUGCUUCUUUUUGAGUCCCAAAAUGUGUUUUGUCUCUUUUGGUUAAAUGACUGAAUGUAAAACCUAAUGGAGGCGAUCUAACCGGCCCGUGCUCCUACGUUUGCUCCUACGUUUGCUCUACGUUUGCUCUGUUUGCUCCUACGUUUGCUCUGUUUGCUCCUACGUUUGCUCUGUUUGCUCUACGUUUGCUCCUACGUUUGCUCGUACGAGGCGAUGUGUCUUUUGAGUUGUUCUGAAGGACAGAAGACACGUGACCACUGAAGGUCACUGAUCCAAGGUUGCAGAUUGUUCUGCAUGGUGCUGCAGUCAGUUCCACAUUCCUCCAAACCUUCAGACACUUUAUCCGACCACAGACGUCAACGGAGCAACUGGAAAUCAACCUGGAGAAGCCUGGGCUGCACCAACAGCGCCCGACAUCCUUCAGCUGGAGGGUAUUUAUUGGCACUGAUGGAGAAGAUGUUUUUCAUCUUGCCCGACUGGCUUCAGCAAGAGUUUCAUUGACAGAUGGUUCAUCCAAAUCUCUUUUCGGGCCGAGGGAAAUGUCUUUAUGGUCGGGUCAUAAAGCCGGAGGUAUAAACCUGGAGGUGACGAGCCGAGUGGACUCAGUGGGGAGCGACUGGAAAGGUGAGUGCUGUUCAGUGUCUGUUCACCAUCAAUCAGCCGUUAUUACGACGGCAUUGUCUCAGGAAUCAAUGUGGAUUCUGUCCUCAUUUACAGUUUCUUGACAUUAUUCGAUGUGGAAAUCAUUUAUUGUUUAAUGUUUAAAGAAAAAUCACUUUCAGUUACUUAGUUGAAAUUAUGCUCCAUUUAUAAAACAAAUGAUUGAUGACGUUAGUUGUGAUUUUCUGUUUUUAUCAAAAAAUGUGUUGUCAAAAAUAUCUUUUAAACUGAUAAAUACAUAAGUUAUUAUCAGCAUUCUUACCAGAAUGGAAGGAGUGGACUAUAUAUGACGUGAGAGGUUAUAGGUGACUUGUAGAAUCUUCACAGAUAUCAUCCAUUCAACUUUAAUAUUGACUAUCAAAAGAUUUGGACCCUUUUAGUCUUCGUCCUGAAGGUGGUUUUGAAGCCAUUGAUCCCAUGAUGCCACUUCGCUCGUCCCCGCGUUGAGCUCACAGAAGGU